rnacentral:rRNA from 1 species
AAGAGUCUAACCUGCCCAGUGAUAUUUAUUUAACGGCCGCGGUACUCUGACCGUGCAAAGGUAGCAUAAUCAUUUGCCUUAUAAUUGAAGGCUUGUAUGAAUGGUUUCACAAGAAUUAGUCUGUCUCCUAUAAAUUAAAAUGAAAUUGACUUUUAGGUGCAAAGGCCUAAACACCAUUAAUAGACAAGAAGACCCUAUUGCGCUUUAAAAAUCAUAAUAAUGUAAGUUAUAUUAAAAAUAAAAUUAUAAAUUAUUAACUCUUUUUAGUUGGGGCGACUAUUGGAACCCAUAAAACUUCCAGAACUUUACGAAUAGUUUAGUAUUAAUUUAUUUAAAUUAGAUCCAAAAUAUUUUGAUUAAUAGAAUAAGUUACCAUAGGGAUAACAGCAUAAUCUAUCUUAAGAGUUCUAAUCGAAAGAAAGGUUUGUGACCUCGAUGUUGGAUUAAAAUAUCCUAAGGGUGUAGAAGCUCUUGAAGGUUGGUC